CUAAUUGUACUCCCUUCUAUCAGCUUUCCCCAGUCAUUCAUUCUUUUUGAGGUUCCAUUCGUUAAUUUGUUCGUUUCCCGAACCGAGAUCACCCCAGAGACUAAUUAGAACUAAGAACACCAUGUAUCUAUAUGAAAACCGCAGCCUAAUUGAAUGCUCCUAGGUGGCCACCAUUUUGUGCAUACGAAUACACGUGGUGAGAACAAUGGGUGGCGGCCAUUAUGUCUCCAAAACACUGCCUUCGGG